UUAGAAGCCAGGUGGAAAGGUGGACUUGCUGGAGGGGACCUCACUUUAGGCUGCUCUCUGUUCUCUCCCAAAGCUGGCUCAGGCUGGACCUGGGGCAAGUGUUUGGCAGAGGCUCUGUGACAACCCACAGGAGCAGGACAGGAUCCUCUCGGGCUUUAGACAGCAUCUCCCUGGUUCCUCUUUUGCUGUGGGUGAAAGUCUCAGAAAGCAUGCAGGUGACCCGAUUGUCUUGACUCUCUCUUUAACAUGGACACUCAGAUGUCCAUGACCCAUAAGGCCUACCUGCUUCACUGCUGGAAGACCCCCGAUCCAGGGACCCUCUCCCCUCAGAAUACAUCUCCUCAUAUCCAAAAACUGCAUCCAGGGGGGCGUGCUGCCCAGGGCAGGACCUCCAUCCCUUAGAGGCCAGCUUGUCAGAGCAACAUGGCCCCUGCCAUGUUCACUCUCACACACGUGCACAGGCAUACAUGCGCGCACACAUGCAUACAGGCACAUCACACUCCCACACAUGCAGUCACACUCCCACCCACACACCACACACUCAGACAUGUGCACACACACACACGUGUACACGAGACCCAUGGAUCUCCUCCUCCCCAGCUAGGCCAAUGAUGGAACCCAAGAAUAGGUCCAGACUGGAGAUUGAGCCCUGAGGUCCCUCACCGUAGACCUCCUUUGGGGGCAGCCCAUUUAAUAAGCACCUACUGUGUACCAGGUGUUGUGCUGGGAGCGAGUUACAGAAUGAGGGAGACAUGGUCCCCGCCCUCUGGGAGCUCCUGGGGUACUGGGUGGACACGGCCAGAGUGGUCUCCUUUGGAUUGGCAGUAGCAGGUACCCACAAAGGCCACCUCCUUCCCCACACCUGGGCGCCUACCCACCCACAGGUGACAGCUUGCCAUAGGGAGGGGUGCCACUGAGCACAUUCUGGGGCUACUCAACAACAUCCAGUUAUUCCAAGAGCACUCAUCGAGCACCUACUGGGCACCAGGACCUGUGCUGGCAAUUCUCAGGACGAAGAGGGCUCUUACAUGGUCCCUGGCUUAGAGGAGCUCCCAGCCUGAUGGGGGAAGCAUACACUGAACCAGGCUGUGGGGACCCAGGGAGAGAGCUACCCCAGCCUGGAAGGCUUCCAGGAGGAGGGGCCAUCUGAGCUAGGUUCUGAAGGGCAAGUGGGAAGG
rnacentral:lncRNA from 1 species